GGGGUAGUACUGGUUUCGACAGGGAUUCAGAAACUCGGGCAGCCAUCUGAAGGCGGGGCUUCAUUAAAACCUGAAAUUAAAAUUAAACGCUGAAGAUAAUUUAGCAAUCGCUGCCUAGUAUGGCAGCUGUCAGCCUGAUGUCAUUCGCUGCAUCAGAUCCUGGCAUCGACGAGGCGAAGCACUUCCUCUCCAAAGCUUUGCGGAUUGGGAAGAUUUAUGAAGCUACUGAAAUGACUAGCCUGUAUGCUGGCGAGUCACGUAGGGAAUGUUAAAUAACAUACUGUGAUGGGAGACACCUAAGUGGAAAAGUCUUUGGACCGGGGUUCGACUCCCCGCUGCUCCA
rnacentral:tmRNA from 1 species